GACGAACGCUGGCGGCGUGCCUAAUACAUGCAAGUAGGACGCAGUUUCGAACGUGUGAGUAACGCGUAGGUAACUGCCUAUUAGAGGGGGAUAACUAUUGGAAACUAUAGCUAAUACCGCAUACUAGUCGAUGGACCUGCGUUGUAUUAGCUAUUAGGUAGGGUAAUGGCCUACCUAGGCAACGAUACAUACCGGACCUGAGAGGGUGAGCGGCCACACUGGGACUGAAAAACGGCCAAAACUCCUACGGGAGGCGGCAGUGGGGAAUAUUGGACAAUGGGCGAAAGCCGGAUCCAGCAAGGCGGCGUAGGUGAAGAAGGUCUUCGGAUUGUAAAGCACUUUAAGUUGGGAGGCGUUACCAACAGAAUAAGCACCGGCUAACUUCGUGCCAGCAGCCGCGGUAAUUC
rnacentral:rRNA from 1 species